rnacentral:rRNA from 1 species
AUCCAGACUCCUACGGGAGGCAGCAGUGGGGAAUAUUGGGCAAUGGGCGCAAGCCUGACCCAGCAACGCCGCGUGAAGGAAGAAGGCUUUCGGGUUGUAAACUUCUUUUCUUGGGGACGAAGAAAGUGACGGUACCCAAGAAAUAAGCCACGGCUAACUACGUGCCAGCAGCCGCGGUAAUACGUAGGGGGCAAGCGUUAUCCGGAUUUACUGGGUGUAAAGGGAGCGUAGACGGCGAAGAAAGUCUGAAGUGAAAGCCCGCGGCUCAACCGCGGAAUGGCUUUGGAAACUUUUUUGCUGGAGUACCGGAGAGGUAAGCGGAAUUCCUAGUGUAGCGGUGAAAUGCGUAGAUAUUAGGAGGAACACCAGUGGCGAAGGCGGCUUACUGGACGGUAACUGACGUUGAGGCUCGAAAGCGUGGGGAGCAAACAGGAUUAGAUACCCUAGUAC